CUUGACCGAACCCAGCAGCAGCGGCUGCUCCCGGUCCCGGCCGUAGGUGGCCAGCAGGGCCUGGGCCUC
rnacentral:antisense_RNA from 1 species